rnacentral:rRNA from 1 species
UACGUAGGUGGCAAGCGUUGUCCGGAUUUACUGGGCGUAAAGGGUGCGUAGGCGGACAGGUAAGUCAGUGGUGAAAUCUCCGAGCUUAACUCGGAACUGCCGUUGAUACUAUUUGUCUUGAAUAUUGUGGAGGUAAGCGGAAUAUGUCAUGUAGCGGUGAAAUGCUUAGAUAUGACAUAGAACACCAAUUGCGAAGGCAGCUUAACUACACAACAAUUGACGCUGAGGCACGAAAGCGUGGGGGAUCAAACAGG